rnacentral:tRNA from 1 species
AGAAGAAUAAGCUAAAAUUAAGCUAUUAGGUUCAUACCCUAAAUAUAGAUUUAUUCUUUCUUCUA